AUUUGACAUUAAUCAGCCUUUUAUUUAAACUUUAUUCUUGCUGUGUCAGAAGUUUAAAAAAUCUCAGGUACAAAUCUCAAGUACAAAACUCUGUAGAGGGCUUUUAAUUUGAAAUGACAGAUGACAGGAAUUGGAGACAGGUGCAGAGCUUAAUUACUCUGAGCAGUGUUUAGUUUGUUACUGCACCACAAAACACCACUCAGUACUGUUUUAAAAAAACAGUAAAACCUUAAACUAAAGCCAUAAACAGACAACAGAAAGCUACAGUUGACCACACAGCUGGCAGUGGAAAGUGGGUGAGCAUGCUACUGCUGCUGAAAACAACUCUUGUGGAGACGCUAAGAGAUCCAUACAGACUGUGGACUGUUGUACCCAAUAACAGCUGAAGGGCAACCCUAAAAACACCCCUGUUUGUAUUUUGAAGUUGCUGCAUGUUUCUUUCACUUCUAACAAGUAAGUGUACCUCUCUAAACUCUCUUUAAGUUUUAUGUUUGGAUUUUUAUUUUCCCUAUUCUUUUGUAUUGCAC